rnacentral:rRNA from 1 species
UUGCGUAGGUGGCAUAGUAAGCAAAUAGUGAAAUACUACGGCUCAACCGUAGACACAUUAUUUGAACUGCUAAGCUAGAGCAUGAGAGAGGUAGCUGGAAUUUCUAGUGUAGGAGUGAAAUCCGUAGAUAUUAGAAGGAACACCGAUGGCGUAAGCAGGCUACUGGCUUAUUGCUGACACUAAGGCACGAAAGCGUGGGGAGCGGAACG